GGGCAGGGUUCUAGGAGCUUCCAGGUUGCUGGGCAUGUGGAGGUUUAUGCUGGUAUGCCCAGAGAGAGAACAUGGAUUCUCCACGUUCCUCCCCAUGCUUUGCCCUGUAUGUUUCUCCUGCCUGACUCUUCCUGAGUUAGAACCUUUUAUAAUAAAUCAGUAAUCUGGCUUCAGCAGUACAUGAACCACGAACUUCCAGAUGUUCAGGCUGGUUUAGAAAAGGCAGAGGAACCACAGAUCAAAUUGCCAACAUCCGCUGGAUCAUGAAAAAAGCAAGAGAGUUCCAGAAAAACAUCUAUUUCUUCUUUGUUGACUAUGCCAAAGCCUUUGACUCUGUGGAUCACAGUAAACUGUGGAAAAUUCUGAAAGAGAUGGGAAUAUCAGACCACAUUACCUGCCUCUUGAGAAACCUAUAUGC
ensembl:lncRNA